UUUCAUUGCAAGUAUGUUACCGCUUUUUUUCAGCGGAUAUUAGUAUGGUAUUUUUAAACCACAGUUUAUAUAAAAGGUUGCGUGGUUAAUAUCCCACUGUUAUUAACCAGUGGGCAGAUAUCAUUGUUUAUUUCAUAAUGCAGAUUUCUAUUGUGUGUGUCUGUAUGGCACUGCUGCUGGUGGUGGUGGUGACACAGGCAAGGAUACCAGAUCAUGGACUCCACCGUACACCCGUGAAGAGACACAAUGUGCAUCGCCGAGCAGCUGUAGAUGCAGGUUUAUCCAACGAUGCAGGAACACCAGUUGGUGUCGAUCAACAGCUUGCAAGUAACCUAGCUUCUCGUGGAUAUAGAAGCCAACAUCAAGCGUAUACUGGGUAUGCAGGUGCCGCCGCGUCCAACCCUAGAGUUGUCGGCACAAGGAGUAAUAAAUAAAUGACCUAAAUUAUUUUAUCCUCCUGCUGUCACCAGCAAUAACACGUACAGUUAAAUCUGAAUAUAAAAUGUCGGUGAUACCGGUUGCAGUAUUGCUUAUAAAAAAAUACAACAACAUUUUACCAAUUGUAAUUGUUCAUAUUUUAAUUGAUUCAAUAUAAUAAUUUUAAUUUGA